rnacentral:rRNA from 1 species
UCUCAGUUCGGAUUGGGGUCUGCAACUCGACCCCAUGAAGUCGGAGUCGCUAGUAAUCGCAGAUCAGCAACGCUGCGGUGAAUACGUUCCCGGGCCUUGUACACACCGCCCGUCAAGUCACGAAAGUUGGUAACACCCGAAGCCGGUGGCCUAACCCCUUGUGGGAGGGAGCUGUCGAAGGUGGGACCGGCGAUUGGGACUAAGUCGUAACAAGGUAGCCGUACCGGAAGGUGCGGCUGGAUCACCUCCUUU